GAAUUCCCAUCAAGUGAUGCAAUACAACUCCUCUGGAUGAUAUUUAACAUGUCCUCAGAUAUGAAACACCUCCUCUCACACCAGCUGACAA